AACGAACGCUGGCGGCAGGCCUAACACAUGCAAGUCGAACGCCGUAGCAAUACGGAGUGGCAGACGGGUGAGUAACGCGUGGGAACCUUCCCUAUGGUUCGGAAUAGCUCAGGGAAACAUGGGGUAAUACCGGAUAAGCCCUUCGGGGGAAAGAUUUAUCGCCAUUGGAUGGGCCCGCGUCGGAUUAGCUAGUUGGUGGGGUAACGGCCUACCAAGGCGACGAUCCGUAGCUGGUCUGAGAGGAUGAUCAGCCACACUGGGACUGAGACACGGCCCAGACUCCUACGGGAGGCAGCAGUGGGGAAUAUUGGACAAUGGGCGAAAGCCUGAUCCAGCCAUGCCGCGUGAGUGACGAAGGCCUUAGGGUUGUAAAGCUCUUUUGCCGGGGAAGAUAAUGACGGUACCCGGAGAAUAAGUCCCGGCUAACUUCGUGCCAGCCGCCGCAGUAA
rnacentral:rRNA from 1 species